CUAGCCGUAAACGAUGGAUACUAGGUGUGGGUGUCGCAGGGCAUCCGUGCCGCAGCUAACGCGUUAAGUAUCCCGCCUGGGGACUACGGUCGCAAGACUGAAACUCAAAGGAAUUGACGGGGGCCCGCACAAGCGGUGGAGCACGUGGUUUAAUUCGAUGCAAACCGAAGAACCUUACCUGGGUUUGACAUGCAGGUGGUAGCGAAGAGAGAUCUGAGCGACUCUGCAGUAAUGUAGAGAGCCUGCACAGGUGC
rnacentral:rRNA from 1 species